GAGAAAGGCUCGCAGGCAAAUGGAAACUGCUAACUUCCAAUACCCCAGUUGAACUCUGGGGCUUUACUCG
rnacentral:tRNA from 1 species